CGUGGCUUCGGUCGCGCAACUCACUGGCGACGUAUUAAAAUUCUUCUUAGAGGGACCGGCGGCUUCGAGCCGCACGAGAUUGAGCAAUAACAGGUCUGUGAUGCCCUUAGAUGUCCUGGGCCGCACGCGCGCUACACUGAAGGAAUCAGCAUGUUCUCCCUGGACAAACUUGACAUUAAUGAUUGGUCAAUCUAGUGCCAAGAUCGCUACUCAUAUGUUUUUUAACCAAGCCCGAAUGAUUUCAAUUUUAAAUCAGCGUCCUUUACAUAACAUAGCGUUUUAAUAUUACUCAGAGGAA
rnacentral:ncRNA from 1 species